rnacentral:lncRNA from 1 species
UUUUUGCACCCUAUUUAUAUGCUAAGUUUCAUUCUUUGAUUGAUCUUCAAACUUUUGACUGAUUUCAAACUUUUCCUUUGUGAAAUUCUGAUUUUACAUGCCUAUUGAUGUUAACUGAUUUCUUUUCCUGUUUCGUCUUACUGAAUCCCUUCCCAAAGUUAGAGUAUUUCUGUACCUAGACUCGAUUGCUUACUUAAUAUUUU